UUAGUGGCGGACGGGUGAGUAACGCGUGGGUAACCUGCCUUACACAGGGGGAUAACACUUAGAAAUAGGUGCUAAAACCGCAUAAGCGCACAGCUUCGCAUGAAGCGGUGUGAAAAACUCCGGUGGUGUAAGAUGGACCCGCGUCUGAUUAGCUAGUUGGUGAGGUAACGGCCCACCAAGGCGACGAUCAGUAGCCGGCCUGAGAGGGUGGACGGCCACAUUGGGACUGAGACACGGCCCAAACUCCUACGGAAGGCAGCAG
rnacentral:rRNA from 1 species